UACAAGGGUAUCUGUGUAAUCAGUUUCAGA
rnacentral:piRNA from 1 species